rnacentral:rRNA from 1 species
UACGAGGGGGGCAAGCGUUGUUCGGAAUUAUUGGGCGUAAAGAGCUCGUAGGCGGUCUGUCACGUCGGCUGUGAAAACCCGAGGCUCAACCUCGGCCUGCAGUCGAUACGGGCAGACUAGAGUUCGGUAGGGGAGACUGGAAUUCCUGGUGUAGCGGUGAAAUGCGCAGAUAUCAGGAGGAACACCGGUGGCGAAGGCGGGUCUCUGGGCCGAAACUGGACGCUGAGGAGCGAAAGCGUGGGGAGCGAACAGG